CUUCGCACAGCAGCCUGCAGUCGCUCUUUCGAAGUUCCAGCAAUGGGGACACGUUUCAGGCAUCUGCUUCUUUGUGCAUUGGUACUACUCGCUGUAGCGCAAAACUUAUGUGCGACAGAUUCUGGUGGAACGGAAAGCUAUCCCUCUCAAUUAAGCCCAGAAGCUGAGCCCACUCAAGAGCCUACUACGUGCACGAUAGAAAAGAAACAAGAAUGCGCCAGUAAAGGACAAGAGUGCGAUAACACGACAGGUACAGUGCAGUGCAUAGCUAAGCCCACUGAAGAGCCUACUACCUGCACGAAAGAAAAGAAACAAGAAUGUGCCAGUAAAGGACAAGAGUGUGAUAACACGACAGGUACAGUGCAGUGCAUAGGUAAG